GACGAACGCUGGCGGCGUGCUUAACACAUGCAAGUCGAACGGAAAGGCCUUGCUUUUGUGGGGUGCUCGAGUGGCGAACGGGUGAGUAACACGUGAGUAACCUGCCCUUGACUUUGGGAUAACCUCAGGAAACUGGGGCUAAUACCGGAUAGGAGCUCCUGCUGCAUGGUGGGGGUUGGAAAGUUUCGGCGGUUGGGGAUGGACUCGCGGCUUAUCAGCUUGUUGGUGGGGUAGUGGCUUACCAAGGCUUUGACGGGUAGCCGGCCUGAGAGGGUGACCGGCCACAUUGGGACUGAGAUACGGCCCAGACUCCUACGGGAGGCAGCAGUGGGGAAUAUUGCACAAUGAGCGGAAGCCUGAUGCAGCAACGCCGCGUGCGGGAUGACGGCCUUCGGGUUGUAAACCGCUUUCGCCUGUGACGAAGCGUGAGUGGCGGUAAUGGGUAAAGAAGCACCGGCUAACUACGUG
rnacentral:rRNA from 1 species